rnacentral:rRNA from 1 species
GACGAACGCUGGCGGCGUGCCUAAUACAUGCAAGUCGAACGCAGUGGGGACGGGUGAGUAACACGUGGGUAACCUCCCAUCAGAGGGGAUAACACUUGGAAACAGGUGCUAAACCGAUACUGAUGGAUGAACCCGCGGUGCAUGAGCUAGUUGGUGAGGUAACGGCUCACCAAGGCCACGAUGCAUAGACGACCGGAUAGGUUGAUCGGGCACGCUGGGACUGAGCCACGGCACAGACUACUACGGGAGGAAGCAGUAGGGAAUCUUCGGCAAUGGACGAAAGUCUGACCGAGGAACGUCGAGUGAGUGAAGAAGGUUUUCGGAUCGUAAAACUCUGUGGUUAGAGAAGCGGUAUCUAACCAGAAAGCCACGGCUAACUACGUGCCAGCAGCCGCGGUAAUUC